rnacentral:rRNA from 1 species
CCUACGGGUGGCAGCAGUGGGGAAUCUUCCGCAAUGGGCGAAAGCCUGACGGAGCAACGCCGCGUGAUCGAAUGAAGGCCUUCGGGUUGUAAAGAUCUGUUGUCAGGGACGAAUAAGCAAUGCGAAUAGUUUUGUGUAUGACGGUACCUGUUUAGAAAGCUCCGGCUAACUACGUGCCAGCAGCCGCAGUCAUACGUAGGGAGCAAUCGUUGUCCGGAAUUACUGUGCGUAAAGGGCGCGUAGGUGGGCGCUUAAGUCAGGUGUGAAACGUCCGGGCUCAACCUGGGGACUGCACUUGAAACUGGGUGUCUUGAGGGCAGGAGAGGAAGGUGGAAUGCCUGGUGUAGCGGUGAAAUGCGUAGAUAUUAGGAGGAACACCAGGGGCGAAGGCGACUUUCUGGACUGUACCUGACGCUGAGGCGCGAAAGCGUGGGUAGCGAACGGUAUUAGAUACCCUUGUAGUC